GUGAAUGAAUAUGUUUUUUUAUGUUUUUAGAAAAAGUGUAAUAUAAAAAAAUUAUGCAAUUCUUUAAGCAAUCAGCUGGGGAAUAUAUGGAGAUAUCUUCUAUUAUAUUUUAUUAUUUCAUUUUUAUUUUUUAUUUAUUUAUUUUAAGUAAGCGCUGAUUUGUCAGCUUUUAGUUAUUGGUCAGUAGUGAGUGAUUUUUAGACUUAAGGUUUAUUCUAUUUCUGUUAUUUUAAUAUCUGUGUUUUAUCUUGUCAUUCUGUUGCAAUGUGGAAAAAUAUUUUAAUAUUUUAAAUAUUUUUUAAUUAAAUGUUUUUUUAAUCAGUGCUUUUAUACAAUACAGCAGAAAUGAAAUGUGCCGAGGGUGAAUAUUUUUUCCUUUUUUAAUAAUAAACACAGCUCACAUUAAAUCACCCUAUACCCCGUCAGCUUAAACAUGUCCGAAAAGCGGGCGCGUGCUUUGUGUGUCAAUCAUUGUUCCGACCAGCUCUUAAAAAUCUCUGUGAUCUCUUGUGUAUGGACUUUGGAGAGCUUAUAUCAGCAUUUACGUGUGAGGAUGGAUUAUGGAUCGGGUCAGUGGGGCCAGUGUCCCGGGGCCUCUGACCAUCACGGGCCUCUACAGCAGUGACCGCAUUUGAUGCUGUUCACUAAUCAUGCCGCAUAUGUGACUUUUUGGCAAAGCGAGCGUGUUGACUUCCGCAACUGCAACCACAAUAAGAUGAGACUCGGUGGGGCGGCUUCGGUGAUUUCACAGCAGACGUUUACAAAGGUUUGGAGGCGGCUCCUGUUCUCGGCUGUGAGAGACUGAACACUUAUCUGUGGGAAAAAUGAAAAGAGAGACAGAGGUGUGUUCAACGGAUCAUAAUGCUGUUUAACAACAUACCGUUUGUGCAGGAAAGAACGUUUACAGCUGACAGAAACACCUGAAAACAGCUGUGUAUGAUGAAGGACUUUUAUCCCCCUAUUGAAAUAAAGCGAUACAGUGCAUGAAGCGUAAACCGGCAAUAAAUAACAACACCAUUGCAACAAAAACAGUACAGUGCUCUUUUUCCAAGCAGCAGAACUUCCUGUAUCUUUGCUGACUAGUUUUAUCUCAUUGGUGAAAGGAAAACCAGUUCCCUUAAACUUGAGGCACGACUGUCUUUCUUAGAAUUGACCGUAAAACAGAACAAAACGGAUCUGGCUUUCCGUGAAAGCUUCCUCCCAGGAAUGUCUUCUCAUUCCUAACCGUCUCGUACUUCCACCUUCUCAGGGAGAGUUCAUAAUAAGGGUCGAGUAUGAAUCGGUUUCAUCAGGCUGAGUCAGUGGAAACAUGCUGUCAUGGACACUAGUAAAAGGAUAAGGGUGCGAUGACAUCAUUAGGGGACAUAAGAGCCGGGCAAGUGUUAAAAACAAUAGACGGGAGAGGAACUACAAAACAAUGGAUAGGCAUCACAGUCUGAAGAUGAUCUCAUCCCUAAAUGGCUAUCUGUUAAAAUAAAAUAAAAAAUAAAUAAAAAAAAACAGGCGAAUCAUCAAUAUUUUUAAUAAUAAAAGUGAUAAUAAAUAAAAAUAAUUUCUUCUAAUUCGAACCAUUUCCGGCAGAUCGUGUUGAGUUCCAAGUAAGUGUUGAUUCUGAAGCACGUGAUCGGUUUUUAUUAAACCUGAUGGUUAUAAUCCUCGGCUUUAAUAAGACACACCUUAUGAGGGAUGAACAACAUCCGCCACGUGUUUAGCGGACUUAAAGUUUAGCCUUAUGAAGUUACGUUAAACAUUAACCUUAAUAAUCACGAUCGA